AUGGCCGGGAGCAGCGUCUCCGGCGGCGGCGGCCGCCCGCCGCUGUUCGCGACGGAGAAGCCGAAGCGGGUGCUGGCGUACCGGGUGUACGCGGGCACCAUCUUCGCGGGGAUCCUCCUCAUAUGGUUCUACAGAGCCACCCACAUCCCGGCGAGGGGCAGCAGCAGCCUGGGGUGGCGGGCGGGGCUGGGGCUGCUCGUGGCCGAGAUAUUGUUCGGCCUCUACUGGGUCCUCACCCUCUCCGUGCGCUGGAACCCGGUCCGCCGCACCACAUUCAAGGACCGCCUCUCGGAGAGAUAUGAUGAUGACCAGCUCCCUGGUGUGGACAUAUUUGUGUGUACAGCGGACCCAGCUCUUGAACCACCCAUGCUUGUCAUCUCCACGGUUCUGUCUGUUAUGGCUUAUGACUACCCGCCAGAGAAGCUAAACAUCUAUUUGUCUGAUGAUGCUGGUUCUGCUGUAACAUUCUACGCUCUUCAUGAGGCAUCUGAGUUUGCAAAGCACUGGAUUCCAUUUUGCAAAAAUUACAAGGUGGAGCCCAGGUCACCAGCUGCCUACUUUGCCGAAGGGGCUACCCCUCAUGAUGCUUGUAGCCCUCAAGAAUUGCUCCGCAUGAAGGAGUUGUACAAGGAUCUGACAGAUCGCGUGAACUCAGUAGUACAUUCAGGCAAGAUUCCCGAGGUUCCAGAAUGCAACCACAGAGGCUCCUCUGAAUGGAAUGAGAUGAUAACUUCUGGAGAUCACCCUUCAAUAGUCCAGAUUCUAAUUGAUAGAAACAAACGGAAGGCAGUUGAUGUAGAUGGAAAUGCAUUGCCAAAACUUGUGUAUAUGUCACGCGAGAAGAGACCUCAGGAACAACAUCACUUCAAAGCUGGAUCAUUAAAUGCUUUGAUAAGGGUAUCUUCGGUGAUAAGCAACAGCUCAGUCAUUCUGAAUGUUGAUUGUGAUAUGUACUCCAACAACUCUGAGUCCAUUAGAGAUGCAUUGUGCUUCUUCCUAGAUGAAGAGCAAGGUCAAGAUAUCGGUUUUGUGCAGUACCCUCAGAACUUUGACAAUGUGGUGCACAAUGACAUCUAUGGCAAUCCCAUCAACGUUGUCAAUGAGUUGGAUAACCCUUGCUUGGAUGGAUGGGGUGGAAUGUGUUACUAUGGCACUGGAUGCUUCCAUCGCAGGGAGACCCUCUCUGGACAAAUAUAUAGUAAAGAUUACAAGGAAGACUGGGAUAGAGGAGUGGGGAUAGCAGAAAAUGCAGAUGAGCUGGAAGAAACGUCCAAGUCACUUGUGACAUGCACGUAUGAGCAUAACACCCCGUGGGGCAUUGAGAAAGGAGUUAGAUAUGGGUGCCCACUGGAGGAUGUGAUUACAGGAUUGCAAAUCCAAUGCCGCGGGUGGAGAUCGGUGUACUACAACCCCGCUAGAAAGGGCUUCUUAGGCAUGGCCCCUACCUCACUAGGCCAGAUCCUGGUUCAGCACAAGAGAUGGUCAGAAGGGUUCCUCCAAAUAUCCCUCUCCAAUUACAGUCCCUUUUUAUUAGGCCAUGGUAAGAUCAAGCUGGGUCUUCAAAUGGGUUACUCGGUCUGUGGCUUCUGGGCCCUGAACAGCUUCCCCACCUUUUACUAUGUCAUCAUUCCUUCACUUUGCUUCCUCAGUGGCGUCUCUGUUUUCCCUGAGAUAACCAGCCCUUGGUGCAUUCCAUUCAUAUACGUCGUGGUAGCUUCAUACUCCUGGAGCCUAAUGGAGUCGCUGCAAUGUGGUGACACUGCAGUGGAGUGGUGGAACGCACAAAGGAUGUGGCUCAUGAGAAGGACCACCUCCUACCUCCUGGCGGCCAUCGACACGAUCGGGGGAAUGCUGGGCGUCUCCGAGUCCGGAUUCGAGCUGACGGUGAAGGUGGACGAGUCGCAGGCUCUGGAGAGGUACAAGAAGGGGAAGAUGGAGUUCGGGCCCAUCUCGGGUAUGUUUGUGAUCAUCACCACGAUCGCGCUGUUCAACCUGGUGUGCCUGGUGGUCGGGCUGGGCAGAGCUCUGUUGCGCGAAGGAACGGCAGGGUUGGGACCUUUGUUUCUGCAGGCUGUCCUCUGUGUGGCCAUAGUGGUCAUCAAUGCUCCGGUCUACGAGGCCCUCUUCAUCCGCAGGGACAGCGGAAGCCUGCCUUAUUUCGUCACCCUAGUUUCCCUUUGCUUUGUGUCGUCGCUCUGCCUACAGGCUAUCUAG
rnacentral:rRNA from 1 species